rnacentral:snRNA from 1 species
AUGCUUACCUGGCAGGGCAGAUACCAUGAUCACGGUGUUUUUCCCAGGGUGAGGCUUAUCCAUUGCACUCCGGAUGUGCUGACCCCUCCGAUUUCCCCUAAUGUGGGAAACUCGAUUGCAUAAUUUGUGGUAGUGGGGGACUGCAUUCUAGCUCUCCCCUG